rnacentral:lncRNA from 1 species
CGAGGUGACUCAUCCUGGCAGCAGAAGCUGUGUGCACUGCAGAAGAAAAUGGCUCAGUGGCAGGCCGUGGGGGAAAGCAGCUGGGGUGUACAGUUCUGCAGUUGGAGGGCUUGGGAAAAGGCUGUGGACCGGUCAACGUGGCUGGACUGUCUGGAAUGGAGUCUAUGACCUAUGUGAGGAGAGUAUGAAAAUAACAAAUAGAGACCCUGUAGCCUAAGGAUCAAGAUUCUAGUUAUCCUCAUAGUCCAGAGGGUCGGACAAGAGGACCAGAAGUUCAAAGUCAUCUUCUGCUGCAUAAAUCUGAGGCUAAGCUAGCUCCAUGAGACCUUGCCUCAGAACCCCA